CUCAGGAUGAACGCUGGCGGUCUGCUUAACACAUGCAAGUCGAACGCAACCUUCGGGUUGAGUGGCGGACGGGUGAGUAACGCGUGAGAAUCUGCCUUGGGGUCGGGGACAACCACUGGAAACGGUGGCUAAUACCGGAUAAGCCUUUGGGUAAAAGAUUUAUUGCCCCAAGAGGAGCUCGCGUCUGAUUAGCUAGUUGGUGAGGUAAAAGCUCACCAAGGCAGCGAUCAGUAGCUGGUCUGAGAGGACGAUCAGCCACACUGGGACUGAGACACGGCCCAGACUCCUACGGGAGGCAGCAGUGGGGAAUUUUCCGCAAUGGGCGAAAGCCUGACGGAGCAAGACCGCGUGAGGGAGGAAGGCUCUUGGGUUGUAAACCUCUUUUCUCAGGGAAGAAGCUCUGACGGUACUUGAGGAAUCAGCCUCGGCUAACUCCGUGCCAGCAGCCGCGGUAAUACGGAGGAGGCAAGCGUUAUCCGGAAUUAUUGGGCGUAAAGCGUCCGCAGGUGGCGAUUCAAGUCUGCUGUCAAAGCACGGGGCUUAACUCCGUUAAGGCAGUGGAAACUGAAUAGCUAGAGUGCCGUAGGGGUAGAGGGAAUUCCCGGUGUAGCGGUGAAAUGCGUAGAGAUCGGGAAGAACAUCGGUGGCGAAAGCGCUCUACUGGACGGCAACUGACACUCAGGGACGAAAGCUAGGGGAGCGAAUGGGAUUAGAUACCCCAGUAGUCCUGGCUGUAAACGAUGGAUACUAGGUGUAGCUUGUAUCGACCCGAGCUGUGCCGAAGCUAACGCGUUAAGUAUCCCGCC
rnacentral:rRNA from 1 species